CCUACGGGAGGCAGCAGUGAGGAAUAUUGGUCAAUGGGCGCGAGCCUGAACCAGCCAAGUAGCGUGAAGGAUGACUGCCCUACGGGUUGUAAACUUCUUUUAUAAAGGAAUGAAGUGAGGCACGUCUGCUUUUUAGUCUGUACUUUAUUACUAAGGAUCGGCUACCUCCGUGCCAGCAGCCGCGGUAAUACGGAGGAUCCGAGCGUUAUCCGGAUUUAUUGGGUUUAAAGGGAGCGUAGAUGGGUUGUUAAGUCAGUUGUGAAAGUUUGCGGCUCAACCGUAAAAUUGCAAUUGAUACUGGCAGUCUUGAGUACAGUUGAGGUAGGCGGAAUUCGUGGUGUAGCGGUGAAAUGCUUAGAGAUCACGAAGAACUCCGAUUGCGAAGGCAGAUUACUAAACUGCCACUGACAUUGAUGCUCGAAAGUGUGGGUAUCAAACAGGAUUAGAUACCCGAGUAGUC
rnacentral:rRNA from 1 species